GAUGAACGCUGGCGGCGUGCCUAAUACAUGCAAGUCGAGCGAAUGGAUUGAGAGCUUGCUCUUAUGAAGUUAGCGGCGGACGGGUGAGUAACACGUGGGUAACCUGCCCAUAAGACUGGGAUAACUCCGGGAAACCGGGGCUAAUACCGGAUAACAUUUUGAACCGCAUGGUUCGAAAUUGAAAGGCGGCUUCGGCUGUCACUUAUGGAUGGACCCGCGUCGCAUUAGCUAGUUGGUGAGGUAACGGCUCACCAAGGCAACGAUGCGUAACCGACCUGAGAGGGUGAUCCGCCACACUGGGACUGGGACACGGCCCAGACUCCUACGGGAGGCAGCAGUAGGGAAUCUUCCGCAAUGGACGAAAGUCUGACGGAGCAACGCCGCGUGAGUGAUGAAGGCUUUCGGGUCGUAAAACUCUGUUGUUAGGGAAGAACAAGUGCUAGUUGAAUAAGCUGACACCUUGACGGUACCUAACCAGAAAGCCACGGCUAACUACGUGCCAGCCGCCGCGGUAA
rnacentral:rRNA from 1 species